rnacentral:lncRNA from 1 species
UGAAGAUAAAAUAAAAUUCUGCAAAGAAUCUGAGAGUUUUUAAUGUCCUCUUGGCUUAAAAUGAGUUGGAAUUGUUUGGUGGUAAUUUUUCUUUCUUUUAUCCUUAAACAUAUUAAAGAGAAAAAUGAAAAUAACUUAUUUUGAAUAUCUAAAUGCUCCUUUUACAAAAGGGGACGCUUUAGAACGCUUGUCUAGAAAAAGAAGUGAGCUGAAACAUUGUGCUAAUGGGAUUUGCAGCAUAAAAUAUGGCUAAUUUCUCUUGUAUGACUACAGGUGGCAGUGUAGAAGCCAAGAACAAAAAUUGGCAGAAAUUGUGUUCUGUGUACGAGAAUAUGAAGAGUGUACUCAUGACUAAGCACAGGAACCUGGAAAACCACAGGGGUUCCUGCCACCUGCCUCUGUGUGCCACUCCCCUCUUCCUCAUGGCAGCAGCAGCCCCUGGGACUUGCUGAAAACCCCUGGAGGGAGGGGGUUCCCUGCUUUGAACCCUGGUCCAGAGGAGCUGCUGGGCUCUGCAGGCAGCCUCCUUUUACAGUUUUGAAGUAGCCAACACCCCACUAACGUGCCAUACUCUGGAAACAUCUCAUCUCUGAAGCUCUCCUGGUCACAAGAGUGGGAAGGUGUGACUGACAGGGCCAUGAGGACAGAGAAGGGUCUCCUGGCUGAGGGAUCAGGUGGUGUGAGAG